CCAGAAACCAGAUGAGCUACCUAUGGGCAGUCUUUAGGAUUAACUCAUCUAUGUGGCAGAAUAGUGAGAAGACCUGUAGGUAGCGAUGAAAAGCCAACUGAGCCUGGUGAUAGCUGG
rnacentral:ncRNA from 1 species